AGAGAGAGACAUGCGCGCAUAUCAAUAAGCGGAGGAAAAGAAACUAACAAGGAUUCCCCUAGUAACGGCGAGUGAAGCGGGAAGAGCUCAAAUUUGAAAUCUUAAAGGGUUUCCCUUUACGAAUUGUAGUUUAAAGAAGUGUUUUCUGUUGAGGUUUUGGUAAAAGUUCUUUGGAAUAGGACAUCAUAGAGGGUGAGAAUCCCGUAUUUGACCUUUACUUUCAACUUUGUGAUACACUUUCAAAGAGUCGGAUUGUUUGGGAAUGCAGUCCAAAAUGGGUGGUAAAUUUCAUCUAAAGCUAAAUAUUGGCGAGAGACCGAUAGCGGAACAAGUACCGUGAGGGAAAGAUGAAAAGAACUUUGAAAAGAGAGUUAAACAGUACGUGAAAUUGUCAAAAGGGAAGCGUUUGACACCAGUGUUGUUUUUCUGAAAAUCAAUUAAAGAACUGUUUAUGCUAAGUUGUUUAGACUUUAUCAGCUAACUGUUUAGUUUUGAGCUUUUCUUUAAUGCACUUUUCAGUUAACAAGUCAACAUCAAUUUCUUUUGCUGUAAAAAAGCUUGAGGAAGGUGGCUUGAGAUUCGUCUUAAGUGUUUAUAGCCUCUUGCCUAUGCAGUCGGAGAGAUUGAGGUCUGCAGCGUAGAUCCUUCGGGGCUAAAUGCAUUUGUGCUAAGUUAUAGCAUUUUAUAGACAACUUGUUGACUAUGAUUUGUCUUGUAGCUUACUCGCUUAUGUUAUUUUACCUACGCUUAGGAUGUUGAGCGCAUGUCUCUCUCU
rnacentral:rRNA from 1 species